rnacentral:rRNA from 1 species
GUGGGGAAUAUUGGACAAUGGGCGCAAGCCUGAUCCAGCCAUGCCGCGUGAGUGAUGAAGGCCUUAGGGUUGUAAAGCUCUUUUGUCCGGGAAGAUAAUGACUGUACCGGAAGAAUAAGCCCCGGCUAACUCCGUGCCAGCAGCCGCGGUAAUACGGAGGGGGCUAGCGUUGUUCGGAAUUACUGGGCGUAAAGCGCACGUAGGCGGACUGGAAAGUCAGGGGUGAAAUCCCGGGGCUCAACCCCGGAACUGCCUUUGAAACUCCCAGUCUUGAGGUCGAGAGAGGUGAGUGGAAUUCCGAGUGUAGAGGUGAAAUUCGUAGAUAUUCGGAGGAACACCAGUGGCGAAGGCGGCUCACUGGCUCGAUACUGACGCUGAGGUGCGAAAGCGUGGGGAGCAAACAGGAUUAGAAACCCUGGUAAUCC